AUGCGCCGGAAGUUGCGGCCGGGAAGCCAGCGAGGUCGAUUCCGCCCUACUCUAACAUGGCGGCGCCCUUUGUCUCCUGUGAAGUGCCGUCCCUGGCCUUCUCGCGGCCGUGAUGCACCUCCCUCUGCAGUGGGGUCCGGGACAUGGCAGGUAAUGAGCUGGAGGAGGGGAGCCAAGCUGGAGUUUAUGCAGACAGACUGUCAGAAAAGAGUAGCCUGGGCUGUUUGGAAAUCUGAGCCAUGGAUUUCCCCCAGCACAGCCAGCACGUCCUGGAGCAGCUGAACCAGCAGCGGCAGCUGGGGCUGUUGUGUGACUGCACCUUCGUGGUGGACGGGGUUGACUUUAAGGCCCAUAAAGCGGUGCUGGCUGCCUGCAGCGAGUACUUCAAGAUGCUCUUUGUGGACCAGAAGGAUGUGGUGCACCUGGACAUCAGUAAUGCGGCAGGCCUGGGCCAGGUGCUGGAGUUCAUGUACACGGCCAAGCUAAGCCUCAGCCCUGAGAACGUGGAUGAUGUGCUGGCUGUGGCCAGCUUCCUCCAGAUGCAGGAUAUCAUCACAGCCUGCCAUGCCCUCAAGUCACUCGCAGAGCCAGCCACCAACCCUGGGGAAAACAUGGAGGCUGCGACCACGGAAGGAGGAGACAAGAGAGCCAAGGAGGAGAAGGCUGUUGCCACCACGCUGAGUGAGCUGGACCAAGCAGGAAGCAGUCCACCGGCAGGCCCAGGCAGGGAGCCCAAGGAGGAGCGAGGUGGCCAGGCUGAGAGUGCAGCCAGUGGGGCAGAGCAGACGGAGAAGGCUGAUGCCCCCCGGGAGCCACCACCUGUGGAGCUCAAGCCAGACCCCACUAGUGGCAUGGCUGCUGCUGAGGCCGAGGCUGCCUUGUCAGAGAACUCGGAGCAAGAGAUGGAGGUGGAGCCAGCAAGGAAAGGAGAAGACGAGCAAGAGGUGGACAGCACCGGGCCAGCUGCAGUCAAGGAGGAAGGGCCCCAGCUGGAGAAUGGCGAGGACAAUGAGGAGUCAGUGGGUACAGACUCAGGCCAGGAGCUCAGCGUGGAGGCCCGGAGCCUGCGCUCAGGCACCUACGGUGACCGCACCGAGUCCAAGGCUUACGGCUCCGUCAUCCACAAGUGUGAGGACUGUGGGAAGGAGUUCACACACACAGGGAACUUCAAGCGGCACAUCCGCAUCCACACAGGUGAAAAGCCCUUCUCAUGCCAGGAGUGCAGCAAGGCUUUCUCUGACCCGGCCGCGUGCAAGGCCCACGAGAAGACGCACAGCCCGCUGAAGCCAUAUGGCUGUGAGGAAUGCGGUAAGAGCUACCGGCUCAUCAGCCUGCUGAACCUGCACAAGAAGCGGCACUCGGGUGAGGCGCGCUACCGCUGCGAGGACUGCGGCAAGCUCUUCACCACCUCCGGCAACCUCAAGCGGCACCAGCUGGUGCACAGCGGCGAGAAGCCUUAUCAGUGCGACUACUGCGGCCGCUCUUUCUCCGACCCCACCUCCAAGAUGCGCCACCUGGAGACCCAUGACACUGACAAGGAGCACAAGUGCCCACACUGUGACAAGAAAUUUAACCAGGUGGGGAAUCUGAAGGCCCACCUGAAGAUCCACAUCGCGGAUGGGCCCCUCAAGUGCCGAGAGUGUGGGAAGCAGUUCACCACCUCAGGGAACCUCAAGCGGCACCUUCGGAUCCACAGUGGGGAGAAGCCCUACGUGUGUAUCCACUGCCAGCGGCAGUUUGCAGACCCUGGCGCACUGCAGCGGCACGUCCGGAUCCACACGGGUGAGAAGCCCUGCCAGUGUGUGAUGUGUGGCAAGGCCUUCACCCAGGCCAGCUCCCUCAUCGCCCACGUGCGCCAGCACACUGGCGAGAAACCCUACGUCUGUGAGCGCUGUGGCAAGAGAUUUGUCCAGUCCAGCCAGCUGGCCAAUCACAUUCGCCACCAUGACAACAUCCGCCCCCACAAGUGCAGCGUGUGCAGCAAGGCCUUCGUCAACGUGGGGGACCUGUCCAAGCACAUCAUCAUCCACACUGGAGAGAAGCCCUACCUUUGUGACAAGUGUGGCCGCGGCUUUAACCGGGUGGACAACCUUCGUUCCCAUGUGAAGACUGUGCACCAGGGCAAGGCGGGCAUCAAAAUCCUGGAACCAGAGGAGGGUGGAGAGGUCAGCGUGGUUACAGUUGAUGACAUGGUCACGCUGGCCACUGAGGCGCUGGCAGCAACAGCCGUUACUCAGCUCACAGACCCUGCCAAUUCUGCCCACAGUAGUACCGGUGGGAGCCGCAGUGACCGCUGAUGAGACGGAAGCACUUAAAGCUGAGAUCACCAAAGCUGUGAAGCAAGUGCAGGAAGCAGACCCCAACACCCAGAUUCUCUACGCCUGUGACUCCUGUGGGGAGAAGUUCCUGGAUGCCAACAGCCUGGCACAGCACGUGCGGAUCCACACAGCCCAGGCCCUCGUCAUGUUCCAGGCAGACACGGACUUCUACCAGCAGUACGGGCCAGGUGGCACGUGGCCAGCCGGGCAGGUGCUGCAGGCUGGGGAGCUGCUCUUCCGCCCUCGGGAUGGGGCUGAGGGUCCACCUGCCCUGGCAGAGACCCCACCCACAGCCCCCGAAUGUCCACCGCCGGCCGAGUGAGCAGGCACCCCUCCUCCUGACUGUUUAUUUAAAGAUGGAUGGCACCCUAGAACUGAGAGGGGUGGCCUUGCUCCCUAGAGAAUAAAUUUCAUUAUUUUCUAA